rnacentral:lncRNA from 1 species
GAGCUUGCCCCCUAGCCCUUGCAUUCUGAGGCUGGUACACUGCUACUGGAGGGGGUGGAGGUAAACCCCAAGCCAUUUCUGGCUGUUGACCGGCAUUACCGACAGCCGGUCUAUAAGCCGCUUGAUAUGGUGCCCCCUGGUAUUGGGGCUGACCACUUAUUGGUGUUACUGGAUUCUGUAACACCGGUGUCAUCACAGGCGCUUGUAGGCCUGCUAUCGGCUGUUCAUUCCGAGCUAACAACUGCCCUAUUCGGGCGAUGUUCUCAUUAGAGGCCGUGAUUGCGACCAAGACGGCAUCC